rnacentral:rRNA from 1 species
AUACAUGCAAGUCGAACGAGUUCUCGUUGAUGAUCGGUGCUUGCACCGAGAUUCAACAUGGAACGAGUGGCGGACGGGUGAGUAACACGUGGGUAACCUGCCCUUAAGUGGGGGAUAACAUUUGGAAACAGAUGCUAAUACCGCAUAGAUCCAAGAACCGCAUGGUUCUUGGCUGAAAGAUGGCGUAAGCUAUCGCUUUUGGAUGGACCCGCGGCGUAUUAGCUAGUUGGUGAGGUAAUGGCUCACCAAGGCGAUGAUACGUAGCCGAACUGAGAGGUUGAUCGGCCACAUUGGGACUGAGACACGGCCCAAACUCCUACGGGAGGCAGCAGUAGGGAAUCUUCCACAAUGGACGCAAGUCUGAUGGAGCAACGCCGCGUGAGUGAAGAAGGCUUUCGGGUCGUAAAACUCUGUUGUUGGAGAAGAAUGGUCGGCAGAGUAACUGUUGUCGGCGUGACGGUAUCCAACCAGAAAGCCACGGCUAACUACGUGCCAGCAGCCGCGGUAAUACGUAGGUGGCAAGCGUUAUCCGGAUUUAUUGGGCGUAAAGCGAGCGCAGGCGGUUUUUUAAGUCUGAUGUGAAAGCCCUCGGCUUAACCGAGGAAGCGCAUCGGAAACUGGGAAACUUGAGUGCAGAAGAGGACAGUGGAACUCCAUGUGUAGCGGUGAAAUGCGUAGAUAUAUGGAAGAACACCAGUGGCGAAGGCGGCUGUCUGGUCUGUAACUGACGCUGAGGCUCGAAAG